rnacentral:rRNA from 1 species
UACGAAGGGGGCUAGCGUUGCUCGGAAUCACUGGGCGUAAAGCGCACGUAGGCGGCUUCUUAAGUCAGGGGUGAAAUCCUGGAGCUCAACUCCAGAACUGCCUUUGAUACUGAGGAGCUUGGAGUCCGGGAGAGGUGAGUGGAACUGCGAGUGUAGAGGUGAAAUUCGUAGAUAUUCGGAAGAACACCAGUGGCGAAGGCGGCUCACUGGCCCGGUUCUGACGCUGAGGUGCGAAAGCGUGGGGAGCAAACAGG